rnacentral:rRNA from 1 species
AUUGAACGCUGGCGGCAGGCCUAACACAUGCAAGUCGAGCGGUAGAGAGAAGCUUGCUUCUCUUGAGAGCGGCGGACGGGUGAGUAAUGCCUAGGAAUCUGCCUGGUAGUGGGGGAUAACGUUCGGAAACGGACGCUAAUACCGCAUACGUCCUACGGGAGAAAGCAGGGGACCUUCGGGCCUUGCGCUAUCAGAUGAGCCUAGGUCGGAUUAGCUAGUUGGUGAGGUAAUGGCUCACCAAGGCGACGAUCCGUAACUGGUCUGAGAGGAUGAUCAGUCACACUGGAACUGAGACACGGUCCAGACUCCUACGGGAGGCAGCAGUGGGGAAUAUUGGACAAUGGGCGAAAGCCUGAUCCAGCCAUGCCGCGUGUGUGAAGAAGGUCUUCGGAUUGUAAAGCACUUUAAGUUGGGAGGAAGGGCAGUUACCUAAUACGUGAUUGUUUUGACGUUUACCGACAGAUAAGCACCGGCUAACUCUGUGCCA